CCUACGGGCGGCUGCAGUGGGGAAUAUUGCACAAUGGGCGCAAGCCUGAUGCAGCCAUGCCGCGUGUGUGAAGAAGGCCUUCGGGUUGUAAAGCACUUUCAGCGGGGAGGAAGGCGGUGAGGUUAAUAACCUCAUCGAUUGACGUUACCCGCAGAAGAAGCACCGGCUAACUCCGUGCCAGCAGCCGCGGUAAUACGGAGGGUGCAAGCGUUAAUCGGAAUUACCGGGCGUAAAGCGCACGCAGGCGGUCUGUCAAGUCGGAUGUGAAAUCCCCGGGCUCAACCUGGGAACUGCAUUCGAAACUGGCAGGCUAGAGUCUUGUAGAGGGGGGUAGAAUUCCAGGUGUAGCGGUGAAAUGCGUAGAGAUCUGGAGGAAUACCGGUGGCGAAGGCGGCCCCCUGGACAAAGACUGACGCUCAGGUGCGAAAGCGUGGGGAGCAAACAGGAUUAGAUACCCUAGUAGUC
rnacentral:rRNA from 1 species